rnacentral:rRNA from 1 species
GACGAACGCUGGCGGCGUGCUUAACACAUGCAAGUCGAGCGGAAAGGCCCUGCUUUUGUGGGGUGCUCGAUAGGCGAACGGGUGAGUAACACGUGAGUAACCUGCCCUUGUCUUUGUGAUAACUUCAGGAAACUGGGGCGAAUACCGGAGAGGAUCUCUUGCUGCAUGUGGGGGAUUGGAAAAUUUCGGCGGUGGGGUAUGGACUCGCGGCUUAUCAGCUUGUUGGGGGGGUAGGGGCUUACCAAGGCUUUGACGGGUAGCCGGCCUGAGAGGGUGACCGGCGACCUUGGGACUGAGGUACGGCCCAGAAUCCUACGGGAGGCAGUAGUGGGGAAUAUUGCACAAUGGGCGGAAGCCUGAUGCAGAAACCCCGCGUGCGGGAUGACGGCUUUCGGGUUGUAAACCGCUUUCGAAUGUGACGAAGCGUGAGUGACGGUAAUGGGUAAAGAAGCACCGGCUAACUACGUG